rnacentral:rRNA from 1 species
UGAUCCUGCNGGACCCUACUGCUAUNGGGGUGGGANUAAGACGUGCGAGUUGAGNNUCUCUAGCUAUGUUGAGACGCGGCAUACGGCUCAGUAACACGUGGCUAACCUACCCUCAGGACGGGGACAAACCCGGGAAACUGGGGCUAAUACCAGAUAGGCGAAGGCGCCUGGAAUGGUUCUUCACCCAAAGGGCUUUGGAAGCAUGCUUUUCAAAGUUGCCUGGGGAUGGGGCCGCGUCCGAUCAGGUUGUUGGUGAGGUAACGGCUCACCAAGCCUAUAACCGGUACGGGCCGUGAGAGCGGUAGCCUGGAGAUGGGCACUGAGACAAGGGCCCAGGCCCUACGGGGCGCAGCAGUCGCGAAAACUCCGCAAUGCACGAAAGUGUGACGGGGCUACCCCGAGUGCCGUCCGCUGAGGAUGGCUUUUCCCCGGUGUAACUAGCCGGGGGAAUAAGGAGAGGGCAAGACUGGUGUCAGCCGCCGCGGUAAUACCAGCUCUCCGAGUUGUAGGGAUGAUUAUUGGGCUUAAAGCGUCCGUAGCCGGCUUAGCAAGUCUCCUGUUAAAUUCAGCGACCUAAUCGUUGAGCCGCGGGAGAUACUACUAGGCUAGGAGGCGGGAGAGGUCGUCGGUACUUUCGGGGUAGGGGUGAAAUCCUAUAAUCCCGGGAGGACCACCAGUGGCGAAGGCUGUCGACUAGAACGCGCUCGACGGUGAGGGACGAAAGCUGGGGGAGCGAACCGGAUUAGAUACCCGGGUAGUCCCAGCUGUAAACGAUGCGGGCUAGGUGUUGGGGUGGCUACGGGCCACUUCAGUGCCGCAGGAAAGCCAUUAAGCCCGCCGCCUGGGGAGUACGGCCGCAAGGCUGAAACUUAAAGGAAUUGGCGGGG